GAGGGUAUAGCUCAGUGGUAGAGCACGUGCUUAGCAUGCACGAGGUCCUGGGUUCAAUCCCCAGUCCCUCCG
rnacentral:tRNA from 1 species